CCUACGGGAGGCAGCAGUGAGGAAUAUUGGUCAAUGGACGAGAGUCUGAACCAGCCAAGCAGCGUGAAGGAUGACUGCCCUGUGGGUUGUAAACUUCUUUUAUAUGGGAAUAAAAAGUUCGACGUGUGGCCUGGUGUAUGUACCAGAUGAAUAAGGAUCGGCUAACUCCGUGCCAGCAGCCGCGGUAAUACGGAGGAUCCGAGCGUUAUCCGGAUUUAUUGGGUUUAAAGGGUGCGUAGGUGGAUUGUUAAGUCAGUUGUGAAAGUUUGCGGCUCAACCGUAAGAUUGCAGUUGAAACUGGCAGUCUUGAGUACGGUAGAGGUAGGCGGAAUGCGUGGUGUAGCGGUGAAAUGCUUAGAUAUCACGAAGAACUCCGAUUGCGAAGGCAGUUUACUGGCCUGCAACUGACACUGAGGCUCGAAAGUGUGGGUAUCAAACAGGAUUAGAUACCCGGGUAGUC
rnacentral:rRNA from 1 species